AUGAACGCUGGCGGCGUGCCUAAUACAUGCAAGUCGAGCGAACAGAUGAGGAGCUUGCUCCUCUGACGUUAGCGGCGGACGGGUGAGUAACACGUGAUAACCUACCUAUAAGACUGGGAUAACUUCGGGAAACCGGAGCUAAUACCGGAUAAUAUAUUGAACCGCAUGGUUCAAUAGUGAAAGACGGUUUUGCUGUCACUUAUAGAUGGAUCCGCACCGCAUUAGCUAGUUGGUAAGGUAACGGCUUACCAAGGCAACGAUGCGUAGCCGACCUGAGAGGGUGAUCGGCCACACUGGAACUGAGACACGGUCCAGACUCCUACGGGAGGCAGCAGUAGGGAAUCUUCCGCAAUGGGCGAAAGCCUGACGGAGCAACGCCGCGUGAGUGAUGAAGGUCUUCGGAUCGUAAAACUCUGUUAUUAGGGAAGAACAAAUGUGUAAGUAACUAUGCACGUCUUGACGGUACCUAAUCAGAAAGCCACGGCUAACUACGUG
rnacentral:rRNA from 1 species